rnacentral:rRNA from 1 species
UACGUAGGCAGCGAGCGUUGUUCGGAAUUACUGGGCGUAAAGAGUGUGUAGGCGGUGUUCCCAGUCUGUUGUGAAAUCUCCCGGCUUAACUGGGAGGGUGCAGCGGAAACUAGAAUGCUAGAGGGUGGGAGAGGUAAGCGGAAUUCCUGGUGUAGCGGUGAAAUGCGCAGAUAUCAGGAGGAACACCAAUGGCGAAGGCAGAUCUCUGGGCCGUAACUGACGCUGAGGAGCGAAAGCAUGGGGAGCGAACAGG